rnacentral:lncRNA from 10 species
CUAAAAAAAAAAAAAUCACAUUCAUAGAAGGAAUUCCAACAGAGCUUUGUCUUAACUCACUAGAUCCUAUGGAAUACUUGACUUUAAAUCUCACUGAAAACCAAAUAACAAAAAUCCAAAGCAAUGAAAAAAUCUCUAGCUAUAGAGAAUGUGCAAUGAUAUGCAAUAGAAAUUAAGGUAUUUAUUUAUAAUAUAAUUUUUCAAACAUAAGCAAAAUAAUCUUUGCAAUACAAUUGAGUCAAACAAAAAAAUAGCCUCCAGAAGAAAUGCAGAUUAAAAACUCCUGUUUUUAAUCCAUCGUAUUAGUUCUGUGCCUCUAGAGAACCCUGACUAAUACACUCCUAUUUGACAUAAAUAUGGCAUUUGAAAAAAUUAUAUUUUAUUUAAUCCUCAGAACAAACCUGUGAUGUAUAUAUUUUUAUCUUUAUUUUUAUAGAGGAGAAUACAAGUUUGAGAUGGAUGAGUAAUCUGCUGAAGAUCACUGAAUGAAUGUGCAAGGAAACCAUAACAUAAAUCCAUGUCUCUUUCUACUACUCAAUUUUUUCCUGUUACUAAUAUCAUUUUUAAAAAUAAUAUUUAUGGGGUUACAAUUUAUGUUUAAUAAGCUUUACCCAUUUUACCACGUUAUGACCCAACAAGAAAGCCUUCACCAGAUGCGGCCACUUGAUGUUGAACUUCCCAGCCUCUAGAACCACAAGGUCAGCAUAAUAUUUUUCAAACUCAUGCAUGCUCCUGCAUAUAUCAAUAGCUCAUUUGUUUUUAUUGCUGAGUAUUAUUCCAUGGAAUGAAAAUGACAUGACAUCUGUUCAUCCAUUCACUUGUUAAUAGACAUUUAAUUUGCUUCUAAGUUUUGGCUAGAAUAAAUACAAUUUUUAUGAAUAUGCAUGUGCAAGCCUUUGUGUGAACAGUUAUCUUCAUUUAUCUUGGGUAAAUAUCCAGGAGUGCAAUUGCUAAGCCAUUUGGUUCAUAAAAAUUUACUUCAAUAAGACACUGAUAAAUUCUAUUUCAAAGUAGUUGUACCCUUUAAAAUCUUCACCAGAAGUGUAUGAGAGUUCCAUUUGCUCUACAACCUUGCCAAUUUUUUUAGCGUGAGUUUUUUUUAGCAGUUCUAAUAAGUAUUUAUAAUGCUGAACAUCUUUUUCAUAUGUUUAUGGCUAUGUCACUUAUAUAGCUUCUUUUGUAAAAUAUCUGUUCAAAUUUUUCUCCUCUUUAUUGCUUUGGUUAAAAAAUCUUCUUAUUGCAGUGUGUCUGUUUUACAUUUAUAUAUUUUGGAUUCAAGUUUUUUUUUUCAAAUACAUGCAUAACAAAUUUUUUUCACAUUCUGUGUCUUGUUUUUUCAUUUUCCUAAUGAUGUCUUUUUAAAAGAGUGUAAUGUUUGUAAAUCCCAAUUAAUUAAUAUAUUUAAUAGUUAUGUUUCUCUGUUCUAUUUAAGAAAUAUUUGCCUAUACCAGGAUUGUAAAAAUCUUUUUUAUUCUAGAAAUUCUAUAAUUUUAGCAUAUAUACUUAGGUCUAUGAUUCAUGUCAAAUCUAUUUUUAUGUAUGGCAUGGGACGAUUAAUAGAUAUUCAUUUUCUUCCAGAUAGAAUCCUGUUGUUCUAGCAAUAUUUGCUUAAAAGUAAUUUGUUGAAAAUCAGUUGACCAUAUACAUGUGCGGCUAUUCCUAGGCUUUUUAUUCUGUUGCAAAAAAAUUACCUGAAAAUGUCCCAAAUUUCUUGAAAAACAUUUAUUGCAUUAACUACAUCUUCUUCCACCUCCAUUCCACUGUUAAGUUCAUCCAAUAAAUUUGUUGUUACACCUAACA